GGUGAACGCUGGCGGCGUGGAUGAGGCAUGCAAGUCGAAUGGGCUUAGACCCAUGGCAGACGAGGUAGGAACACGUAGAUACGUACCCCAAAGUCGAGAAUAAUCUGGAGAAAUCCAGGAUAAUACUCGAUGGUCCCGCAAGGGUAAAGAUUUAUCGCUUUGGGAACGGUCUGCGUUCUAUCAGCUUGUUGGUAAGGUAACGGCUUACCAAGGCUACGACGGAUAGGGGAGCUGAGAGGCUGACCCCCACCGAUGGAACUGAGACACGGUCCAUACUCCUACGGGAGGCCGCAGUCGAGAAUCUUCCGCAAUGGACGAAAGUCUGACGGAGCGACGCCGCGUGGUUGAUGAAGUCCUUAGGGACGUAAAGACCUUUUAUGGAGGAGGAAUUUUAUUGACGUUACUCCAUGAAUAAGGGGCUCCCAAUUCUG
rnacentral:rRNA from 1 species